GACGAACGCUGGCGGCGUGCUUAACAUAUGCAAGUCGAACGGAAAGGCCCUGCUUUUGUGGGGUGCUCGAGUGGCGAACGGGCGAGUAACACGUGAGUAACCUGCCCUUGACUUUGGGAUAACUUCAGGAAACUGGGGCUAAUACCGGAUAGGAGCUCCUGCUGCAUGGUGGGGGUUGGAAAGUUUCGGCGGUUGGGGAUGGACUCGCGGCUUAUCAGCUUGUUGGUGGGGUAGUGGCUUACCAAGGCUUUGACGGGUAGCCGGCCUGAGAGGGUGACCGGCCACAUUGGGACUGAGAUACGGCCCAGACUCCUACGGGAGGCAGCAGUGGGGAAUAUUGCACAAUGGGCGGAAGCCUGAUGCAGCAACGCCGCGUGCGGGAUGACGGCCUUCGGGUUGUAAACCGCUUUCGCCUGUGACGAAGCGUGAGUGACGGUAAUGGGUAAAGAAGCACCGGCUAACUACGUG
rnacentral:rRNA from 1 species